rnacentral:lncRNA from 1 species
AAUAGCCCUGCCUUUGCACAGGAGAGAGAAAAAGUAAGCAAGCAAACAGUCACACAACAGCAAGAAUACCAGGGCCAUGAAGAGGAAGUGAGGGAGGCUGCCAUUCUAGAAAGGGCAGCAGGGGCUGUGGAAGGUGGAGAGUGCGACUCAAGGAGCAUCAUGGGAGAAAAAGAGAGUGUUGCUCAAAAGCCAAGCAGCCGGAGCUGAGCAGAGGCUCUUUUUGGAAACUUCGUUGGAUACUCAGCACACAAUCAUCGCCUACUUCGGACAAGACUCUGGGGCAGAUGAGUAAAGGGGCAUGA